UGUGUACUCUCUCCGUCCGGAAAUACUUGUCAUCAAAAUGAAUAAAAGGGAAUGUAUCUAGACAUAUUUUAGUUCUAGAUACAUCUCUUUUUAUCCAUUUUGAUGACAAGUAUUUUCGGACGGAGGGAGUAUAUA
rnacentral:pre_miRNA from 1 species